ensembl:lncRNA CYP1B1-AS1 CYP1B1 antisense RNA 1
CAAGAACAGCUGUGGGGAAAAGGCAGAAGGGGGUCUAUCUUUGUUGAGUUUUGGUAUUGAUUUUAUGUGUCAGUACCUGAGAAGGAGAGAAGUCCUUGAGUUGUUUCGUAAAUGUGGCUCAAGUGAGAUGCUGAACAGUGCCAGCCAUGUGGACUCUGCCACAGUGAAGGAGGAAGGAAAAAAAUAUAAUAUUGGAUCGGCUGUGUGUCAAGCAUCUGAGGUUCUAACCAUAGCUCCAUUACUACCAGUCCGUGUGACUUGGGGAAUGCUGCUUACCUUCUUUGAGACCCAGUUUCUUCAUUACAAGAUAAAGAGCUUGCUAGGCAGCACUGAGAAGUGAAGGAAUAUUUGGGAGGAUCAGAAGCUUGGUCCUGAUUUUGCCAUCAACAGGAACUUGAUGACUUCAAGGGAGUCCCCAAACCCUGGGUUUCUGUUUUCUCAACUCUAACAUGAGGGGCUAGAUGCAUCUGGUUUAGUUAGUCUCCAUGAUGGUUUAGUUCGUCUCCAUGAUCCUGUGAAUUUCAGAUGUUGAAAAUCUUCGGAAAAGCCCUGAAAGAUGAACAGUCUUCACCAACCUCCUCCCUCCAGAAUAUUCCUCAAGAAUAUAAAAUGCCUCAUCAACAUGAGACAACAGCAGGAAGCACCCAUUCGUAGUAAUCCUCUGUAUGGAGGAGGCUGUUACAUAACCACAAAGGCACAAAGCUGCAGUUUUGAGAACAUCUUCCCACGCCAGUUCUAAGCAUUGACUUCAACUAUGGUUGCUAACACAAGAAUCGGCACUGGUGACUUUUGAGCCAUCAAUCAUCCUUUCCUAACACAUGAAUCUUUUGGAAAAUGGUCUCAAAUAGUCAAGACCCCCUGCUGGGAGGAGCUUCUAUCCUGCUCUGU